AGAUUCACUCAAUUAGAACACCCAGUUUGAGACAUAAUGGGUUUUGGCGAGCUCCAUAGACUGAUAGGUUUUUAUACACAUGCACAGAAAGAUUUGAUUUCCUCUGCGGAAUUUAUGGCAGGGGAGAAGAGGGCAAAAUUCAGCUGCAGCGUGGAAAUCGUAAGGCAGAAAGAGGCUGAAAUCCAGAAGGGUGCUGGUAAGAUUGACCAUGGUAAUGAAGAGGAUCAGCGCAGUUUACCGUGUUUGGUGUUCUUACUCCACUCCCGUCUCCUUUCCGAUGCCAAAGCUCUUCUAUCCAUCCUUGACUUUUUAACCAAGGACUUCCCUCAUUAAACUGAAGAGACAAAGGAGACUCCUGAGGGAUUUAGAAAUUCAAUGGAAAAAGCAAAAAAAAAAAAAA
rnacentral:lncRNA from 1 species